rnacentral:rRNA from 1 species
UUGACCUCGGAUCAGGUAGGAAUACCCGCUGAACUUACGCCUAUC